UACGUAGGGGGCAAGCGUUGUCCGGAAUCACUGGGCGUAAAGCGCGCGCAGGCGGCUUUUUACGUCUGGGGUGAAAGCCCAAGGCUCAACCUUGGAAUCGCCUUGGAAACGGAAAAGCUUGAGCGUCGGAGAGGCAAGGGGAAUUCCACGUGUAGCGGUGAAAUGCGUAGAGAUGUGGAGGAACACCAGUGGCGAAGGCGCCUUGCUGGCCGAUUGCUGACGCUGAGGCGCGAAAGCGUGGGGAGCAAACAGG
rnacentral:rRNA from 1 species